rnacentral:rRNA from 1 species
AACGCUGGCGGCGUGCUUAACACAUGCAAGUCGAACGAGAGCGUAGAGAAAGCUUGCUUUUUCUACAAUCUAGUGGCAAACGGGUGAGUAACGCGUAAACAACCUGCCCUACGGAUGGGGACAACAGCUGGAAACGGCUGCUAAUACCGAAUACGUUCCGAAAGUCGCAUGACUGUCGGAAGAAAGGAUGGCCUCUAUUUAUAAGCUAUCGCCGGAGGAGGGGUUUGCGUCUGAUUAGCUAGUUGGAGGGGUAACGGCCCACCAAGGCGACGAUCAGUAGCCGGUCUGAGAGGAUGAACGGCCACAUUGGAACUGAGACACGGUCCAGACUCCUACGGGAGGCAGCAGUGGGGAAUCUUCCGCAAUGGGCGAAAGCCUGACGGAGCAACGCCGCGUGAGUGAAGACGGCCUUCGGGUUGUAAAGCUCUGUUAUACGGGACGAAUAGUCUUGUGGUUAAUACCCAUGAGAAGUGACGGUACCGUAAGAGAAAGCCACGGCUAACUACGUGCCAGCAGCCGCGGUAAUACGUAGGUGGCAAGCGUUGUCCGGAAUUAUUGGGCGUAAAGGGCGCGCAGGCGGCUUCUUAAGUCUGUCUUAAAAGUGCGGGGCUUAACCCCGUGAUGGGAUGGAAACUGGGAAGCUCAGAGUAUCGGAGAGGAAAGCGGAAUUCCUAGUGUAGCGGUGAAAUGCGUAGAUAUUAGGAGGAACACCAGUGGCGAAAGCGGCUUUCUGGACGAAAACUGACGCUGAGGCGCGAAAGCCAGGGGAGCGAACGGGAUUAGAUACCCCGGUAGUCCUGGCCGUAAACGAUGGGUACUAGGUGUAGGAGGUAUCGACCCCUUCUGUGCCGGAGUUAACGCAAUAAGUACCCCGCUGGGGAG